AUUGAACGCUGGCGGCAGGCCUAAAACAUGCAAGUCGAGCGAGCGGCGGACGGGUGAGUAAUGUAUGGGGACUGCCCGAUCGAGGGGGAUAACUACUGGAAACGGUGGCUAAUACAGCAUACUAUCGGAUAACCCAGAUGGGAUUAGCUAGUAGGUGGGGUAAAGGCUCACCUAGGCGACGAUCUUUAGCGGGACUGAGAGGAUGAUCAUCCACACUGGGACUGAGACCCUGCCCAGACUCCUACGGAGGCAGCAGUGGGGAAUAUUGCACAAUGGGCGCAAGCCUGAUGCAGCCAUGCCGCGUGUAUGAAGAAGGCCUGAGGGUUGUAAAGUACUUUCAGCGGGGAGGCGUUACCCGCACAAGAAGCACCGGCUAACUCCGUGCCAGCAGCCGCGGUAAUUC
rnacentral:rRNA from 1 species